rnacentral:lncRNA from 1 species
CCAGCCAGAUCCUCCUGUGCCCUCCUGGUAGGAGCCACUAUGGACAAUUCAGAGUUUGAUCAAGGCUUAAUCCUUAAUCCCUCCUGAUGAGUCAUGGGUGGGACCCCAAUUCCAUUUCUCCCCAUUGUCCCCUCACAGAUUAGAAAUCAGGUGGCUGAGAGCCUGGCAGAGGUCUGCAGAGUGAGGACAGCAUAGGCAGGCAUGCUGGAAAUCCUGAGGGAGGCCUUGGGGCAGGCCUUCCUGGACAGCUGGCCCAUCAACUGGCCCUGCUUCCCAGACCCCAUAAGGGCCUGCAUUUCCUCCCCACAGGAGGGGAUGCUGGGAAGCCUGAUGUCCUCUGUCCUUGACUCCUUGCUGGAGCUGAUCUCCCAAGUGCAUCACACCACCAAACUUCUCCUGGCCCAGCUAGAGCAUGCCAAGCCCACUGAGGCAGAGCCCAAGGAUGAGGAAGACUGUGGUGAGCAGCUCCACUCAAAGCUGAAGUCCCAGCUGCAGAGCCUGUGCCAGCUCCACCUGCAGCUUGCUCCUCAGCUCUGCCACCACAGGGAAAGCCGGUGCCAGGAACCCCUUUUCCACCAGCUGCACAGCUGGGUCACCUGGUGGCUCCUCAGCAGGUGUCAGCUCCUGAGCCCCCCCUGGGGCCAGCUCCUGCCCCACCCCUGCCAUUCCCCUCUAU